CUCAUACUGGCAUACCAAACAAGUGUAUAUACAUUGUCUACAACAUGUAUCUUAAUAAUUUACAUUAGGUUUGUCUAUACACAACAAAAAAAUACUCGACUUCCAGCGGAGAGACUCGAACGAAUGUACAGCUACUGAAUGUCGAAACACCUACUAAGGGUCAAAUAUACGAAGACACUUCGACCUAGUUACCAGCUGCCUUGUGAUCUGAAAACAUGAAGUUGAAAACGGUGAGUAUAAACCCAGUGAGUGAACGAGGAAGGGAACAAGCAUACCAUAAGGAAUGUUUAACGAAAUCAUCAUGCAUUCAUUUUGCAAAACAAUGCAAUUUAUUUGAUUUCUUAUUAAACCCCUCAUGUAAACCCCACAUGAGAAAAAUCACUUAUUGAAAAGAGUCCAUGCUCAACAAAGGUUUUGGAGAGUGAAUACUUUAAUAGCAUUCAUGCGAAUCAAGUCAAAUAAACGACAAGUCCUCGUUGCAGCGGAAAGGCAUUCUUGCUGUAGCGAGAAUGAAUUUUUGCUGCAACGACACUUGACUUUAAUUAUCAUCUAGCCGAGGGUUUUUUAACUAGCCGAGGGUUUCUCACCAAACCUCCUCAUUUUAAACUUAAUUCAUUUAUUCCUUAAUGUUGGAAGUCCAUGCUCAACUAUGGUAUUAAAGAAGUGGAAAAUAGGGCAACAAUUGAUCAAGAUGUGAGACAAACAUAAAGUUUUUCACUGCACCGAGAAUGAAUCUCGCUGCAGUGAAAUUUCUGCCCCAAGACAGAAACUUUCUCGCUAUAGCGAGAAUGCUACAGUAUUUUCUCGCUGCAGCGAGUUUUUGACCAGGGCACCAAUGAGAAAUUUCCUUUCCUCCCAAAGAAAACCACCAUGCUGAAAUGUCCAAAACCAAUAAGAAACACAUAACAACUUCCCAAAGUUUAACAUACCAAAUUUCACAUACAUUAUAACCAUAUACCAUUACUCAUAAAUUUCUUAUAACACACAUGUUUACGUAUGUAUAUAUAUAUACAUAUACCCAUCAUCAUCAUGCACACCAUCCCAUCAUCACCAGCUCAUGCAAACUCCCUACUCGCACAUGGCUGGGUCAUCACCGGUUUAUGCGCACUCCCUACUCGCACAUAUCCGAGUCCAUAUAAUUACACAACAAUAUAUUCGUACGUAUAUACAUAUAUCAACAUACUAUAGCAGUAUAGGAAUCCAUAAUAGCCACAUAUCACAACAUAACCCAUUUCUCAAAAGCUUGUUCCCAAGGCACUUAUUUUUAAGAAAGUUGUAUAAAAUCAUUCAAACGUUUUGUACAAACAAUCACAUUCCCCAAAACAAAUUUGAAAUGUAGUUCACUCACCGGUAUAUUGUUAAGCCUUUAGCUGACUCUAAUCGUGAGACCCCAACCUUUAUAGGCUUGUAACUAAGCAUAGAUGUAAUCAUACGAGCCAGGGGUAGUUUCGUCAUUUUCUCUAAUAAGCUCCUAAAAGAAAGUUUUAUGAUAUUUUAAGGUCUAAAUAGGCAUAAGACUGCAUAAUUGACGUGUAAUGAUGAAAACACGAAGAAAACUAGAAAUGACAAUAAUUUUCACAACAGGGGUAAAAUGGUCAUUUUGCACCCGAGUCAAAACUUUUAAAAGUUUCGCAAACCUGAACAUGUCUAGACCAUUAUGGACUUGGUCCCAGUGUUAAAGAGUAAAAAGAUUGCACAAAGGGUUGCAUGAGAACAAGCUAACUAGUCAAGGGUAUUUUCGUAAUUUUAAGGGAAUGGAUAAGUUUGGCCUAUAAAUAUCCUUUUUCUAGCAGCUUCUUCUCCCAUUUUCCAGCAGUUUGUCUUCUUCUUCCUUCUUCCCUCUCACGUUUCUUUAAAACCUCCAUGGAAGCUUGAUAUGGAGCUUGCAUGAUUUUCUCUCUCUAGCUUUAAUUUUCAUACCCUUGUGCCCUUUUGACUAGAACCCUUGUAUUCUUUCACUUUCUCACUUCAAAACCCUUGGUAACGCUUAUUUCCAUGCUUUCUCUCACUAGUUGGGUGUUCUAGAGAGAGAAAGAGAUAAUUACCCUAUUUGUUUGAAAGCUAUUGGAAGAGAAUUCAACUACAAAAAAACCCAAGGGUGAGUGAUGAACUAAGCUCGGUUUUUAGCUGUAGAAAAUGGCUAGUAAUUGGGAUUAUGAGCUGUUUUAUUGUAAAGGAUGUUCAUUCAUUUUAUAGUAAUUAAGAUAGUGAACAUAAAUAGCCAUUUAAAGUGGCAAUUGAAAGCUAGCUACAAGAUAGCUUUUAGGGUUUGUAUUAUGUGAAUUAACAUAAUGAUGAUGUUAAUGAAAUGGUAGGUUCCAACGAAGUUCCAUCAUUCUGUUUGGACAAUUAGAGAAAUUAUAGUCAGUUAAAGGCUCAACAAAAUAUCAGUGAGUGAACUGCAUUCAAAACUUGUUUUGAGUAUAUAAUGUAUUUGCCAAACAUUUGAAUGAAUUAUCAAGCUUUUCAUAAAAACAAGUGCCUUGGGAACAAGUUUUUGAUAGAUUGUCUCCAUGUUGUGACAUGUGACUAUUAUUGAUUCAUGCACUACCACAUUGUGUUGAUAUAUAUAUAUGUGAAUACAUUGUUGUGUAAUGAUAUUGACUCGGCUAUGUGCAAGUAAAAAGUGAAUACAUAAGCUGAUGAUGACCCGGUUUUGUUUGAGUAGGGAGUGCGCAUAACUGGUGAUGACCUAGCCAUGUUCGAGUAGGGAGUACGCAUGAGCUAAGAAUUAGGGGAUGGCGUGCAUGACGGUGAUGGCUAUAUGUAUAUGUAUACAUACGUAAACAUGUGUGUUAUAAGCAAUUUAUGAGUUAUGUAUAUGGAUGUAAUGUAUGUGAAAUUUGGUAUGUUAAACUUUGGGAAGUUGUUAUGUAUUUUUUAUUGGUUUUGAACAUUUCAGCAGGGUGGGUUUCUUUGGGAGAAAAGGAAAAUUUUCAUUGGUGCCCUGUAUCUCACUGUAGCGAGAAUCAUUCUUGCUGCAGCGAGAAACUCUCUAGUUUGAGAGCCUUCACCAGAACUGGUUCUCGCUACAGCGAAAAGAAAUCUCGCUGCAGCGAGAAACUCUCUAUUUUAUCAGCUAAAUUUUGCUGCAGCGAGAAACCUUCUGUCUAUUUUGCUAUCUCGUGGGGUUUUGCCAUAUUUUUCCAUUUCAUUUAUACCCUAGUGGAGCAUGGACUUCCAACAUGUUUGAGGAUUGUCUAACUAAGUUUGAAAUGAGGAAAUUUUGAGAGAAACCCUCAGUUGGUUGAGAAACCCUCGUUCGGCUAAUAACUUAAAUCCCAACGUCACUGCAGCGAAAAUUCAUUCUCGUUGUAGCUACGCUGCAGUGAGAAUGCCUUCCCGCUGCAGCGAAGACUCGUCGUCGCAUUUGACUUGUUGGUGUAUCACUGAAGCCUUCAUUUUUCAAAUUAUUGGUUAUGUAUGGGUUCCUCAUUACCAAGUGAUUAAUCAUAUAAAGGUUUAAUGAGGGGUUUUUAAUAUGAAUGAAAUUAAGUUGCAUUGUUUUAAAACAAGUGCAUCAUGAUUUUAAAUUAUUCCUUAUGGUAUGCUUGUUACCUUCCUUGUUCACUAACUGGGUUUAUACUCACCGUUUUUAAACUUCAUGUUUUCAGAUCGAGAGGCAGCCGGUAACUAAGACGAGGUGUCCUCGUAGACUUGUAACCAUCUUUUGGUAGGUGUCUCAGCAUUCAGUAGCUGUACAUUUGUCUGAGUCUCUCCGCUGGAAGUCAAGUAUUAUUUUGUUGUGUAUAGACGAACCUAAUGUAAAUUGUUAAGAUACAUAUUGUAGACAAUGUAUAUACACUUGUUUGGUAUGCCAGUAUGAGAUGGCAAUGUGUAGUAUUAUUUUGAUUCUAAGUUAUGAAAUGUGACUUAGUAGUUUAUGAUGGAAUGAUAAACAUGUCAGAUUAAUAGGCUUGCUUGGGCUUAGUGGAUUACAUCAAUUGGGCCCAUGCGCCAGUCAUGGCUCGAAAUUUAGGUCGUGACACUAAUUCCCCUAAUGAUCCAAUUGGGGUAAUGAGGCUUCGUUAGAACCUAGAAUCACAUUAGCAUCAGUACUAUGUUAAUUCACACACUAUAAACCCUAAAAGCUAUCUCUUAACUAGCUUUCAAUUGCCAUUUUAAAUGGCUAUCUAUGUUCACUACCUAAUCACAUUAGAGUUAAUACACAAUCUCAACAAUAAACUCACAAAUCAAUCACUAAACAUUAUCAACACUUAAAACUCGAUUCUAAUUUACUACUCACCUCGAUAGCUUUGUAACUUUGAAAUUCUUUCCAACAAUUCCCAAGCUUAUUAUAGGGCUUUCUUUCUAUUUCUCUCUCUAAACACUUAGCUAGUAAGAGAAAGUAUGGAAGUAGGAUUUUUCAAGGGUUUUAAAAUGAGAUAGUGAAAAAAUACAAGGGUUCUAGUCAAAAGGGCACAAAGAUAUGAAAACUAGAGCUAGAGAGAGAAAAUAUGCAAGCUCCAUAUCAAGCUUCCAUGGAAGAUGGAAGCAACGUGAGAUGGGAAGAGGAGAAGAAGAAGAAGCUGUUGGAAAUUCAAAAGCUACUGAAAGGAGAAGGUAUUUAUAACCCAAGCUUAUCCAUUCCCUUAGAAAUUACGAAAAUGCCCUUAGUAAGUUAGCUUGUCCUUUUCCACCCCUAUAUGAAAUAUUUUUACUCUUUUGACACUGGGACAAAGUCCAUAAUGGUCUCGAAAUGUUUGAGUUCAUGAAAACUUAAAAAUUUUGACCCGAGGUGAGAAAUGACCAUUUUGCCCCUAUUGUGAAAAUUAUUGUCAUUUCUAGUUUUCUUUGUGUUUUCAUCAUUACACAUCAUUUAUACGGUCUUAUGCCUAUUUAGACCUUAAAAUAUCAUAAACCAACUUCUGGGAGUUUAUUAGAAGAAAUGACGAAACUACCCCUAGCCCGUGCUAUUGUGUCUAUGCUUAGUUACAAGCCUAUAGAGGUUGAGGUCUCACAACAAUCUUUCAAGCCUUCCAUUUUAAUUCCUCCAAAAGAUUUUAAAUUCAAAGACUUUCCUUCAAAAAUAUGUUUAAAUGUUAUUCACCCCCCUUUAGUACUCCUUUUGGGACUAACAAGUGAUAUCAGAGACUAAUCCUUGAUUUUAAGGCUUGACAUCAAAAGAGAAGAUCUAAUGGUGACCCAAAUUUCUAAUGUUACUAAAGGUCAAUCCACAAAUAGACCUCCUCUAUUUGAUGAAUUAAUUACCAAUAUUGGAGCACUAUGAUAUCUACUUAUAUUAUAAUUGUUGACUAUGAGAUGUGAGAUGUCAUUAUCAAAGGUCCUUUCAUUCCCCUGAACACAAAUCUGGUAACUAGUAAGAAAACUCCCAAAAAUAGAGAUGAAUGGACUAAAGCUAAAAUAAGGAAAGUGCAAAUAAAAUUCAAUUCCAUUAACACUCUCCAUUAUGUAUUGAGCCCAACUGAGUUUAACAAAAUCUCUACAUGCACCACUGCCAAGGAAAUUUAGAAGAAGUUCAGAGUCAUUCAUAUAGAGACUUUACAAGUCAAGGAAUCCAAUAUCACACUUCUCAUUCAUAAUUAUGAAAUGUUCAAGAUGGAACCCAAAGAAAACAUCACCACCAUGUAUGAUCUGUUCACAAACAUAGCCAACAAGCUUAAGCAAAUUGGGAAGGUCAUCCUAGAAAAUUUAUUGGUAAGAAGGCUACUUAGAAGUUUACCAAAAGCUUGGAAGCAAGAGGUGACAGUAAUUCAAGAAGCCAAAGAUCUUAAUGUCAUCACCUUAGAUGGGAUAUGUGGCUCACUUUUCACAUAUGAACAAGAGAUGAAGGAAGAAGAAGAAGAAGAAAGGAACAAAACUAAGAAAGAAAUAGAAGUAAGAGCCAACUUUUGCUUCAUGGCCAAAGAUGAAGAACUUGAGGUAAUAUCUAAUUUAUCUAAUAUUUCCUAUGAUGAAUUUCAAGAUGAGAAUGAUUGUUUAUAUGUUGAAUUUGAGAAGUUCGCUUUAAAGUAUAAGGUUUUUAAAAAGAAAACUUUAUCUUUAGAUGAUAAAUUAGAAAAGAUUAAAUGAGAUUUCAAAUAUGUUUUUUAUCAAAGAAAUGUUUUUCAAAUUAAGCUGGAUCAUUCUAAAACAGAUUUUGAAAUUUUAAAGUUGGAAUUAGAGAGUAAAAAUGAGGCCUUACAAAAGGCAUUGGAUGAGAAUGUUGCUCUCAAAGCUUUAAUAGAAGAGAGCUCAAAACUAAAGUUGAACAAAGAAGAAAAACCAAAAACAAAUGAUGCUUUUAAAAGGAAAAAAUAUGCAAAUUCAUUCCAUUGUUAUGUUUGUGGCAAAAAAGGUCAUCCCUCUUAUGAUUAUUAUCAUAAGAGUAAUAACCUCCCCAAAACCAAGAUGGUUUGCGUGCCCAAAGGACUUUAUAUGCUUACAAACCCCUAAAAAGCCAUCAAAGUAUAGGUACCUUUGAUAAAAAAAAUGAAAAAUUAUUUUAUAGGUUGAGCAAGAGCAAAAGGAACAAUAUUUGAAAGCUCAACCAAAAGAAAGGCAACUUUGGUACUUGGAUAAUGACUGCUCAAGGCACAUGACCAAAAAUGAAAAUUUGUUUGUCAAGCUUGAUAGAAAGAAAAAUGAUAGUGUCUCUUUUGGUGACAACUCCAAAGGUAUCAUCCAAGAAAUUGAAACUGUUGGUAAUACUUCUCAAACUCAAAUCAAGCAUGUUUUACUUGUUAAAGGUUUGAAACAUAUCUUAUUAAGCAUUAGUCAACUUUGUUGUGAAACCUCGACCUUCAUAAACACGUAACUCGAUGUAGAACUUAUGUUCAAAGGUUUAAUUUGAGCUAAUGAUGCUAUUUUUACAUUACUUAUAAGUAUUUUAUGUCGUUAUAGGAGUAGGAUUAAAAAAUAAUUUCAAUUGGUGAAGAAAGAUGCAUAGUAGGCUGUUGCUCUAUUUGUAUAUGUUUUGGUUUUUCAAGCAUAUCUCCCACUACAAAAGUGAAAAUAAAACUAUUUUUGGACCAUUGGAAAGAUAAGAGGUAUGGCUACAACUUUUAUGUUUACUACUUUGCCCAGUUUUAACGGGAAAGUGGUCAAUAUUAUUGUCGAAGUGAAAGUACUAGGCCAGAAGAACAUAUUUGGACAGAACAUUUGAGCGUCGCGGCCCUCAUCGUAAUUUCCACAAAUAACAAGUUUAGGGAAUUUUUGAAGCUAGGACUUUUGGGGGCUACUUAAAGGACCUUUUUCAAAGGAUUUUGGACCUUUUCCCAAUGUCAAAAGAGUAAAAAGAUUACACAAGAAAAGGAGGAAGACAAGUGGCCUUGUUAAGGGUAUUAUUGUUAUUGCAUGAGAAAUUAGAUAAGCUUUAACUAUAAAGAUCUCAUCUUUUUCAGCAGCUUCCAUAUUUCUCCAACAACUUCUUCUUCUUCCUCCUCCCAUCUCAUGUUUUUCUCCUCUUCCAUGAAAGUUUCUCUUAAGCUUCCAUCACUCUCUCAAACUAACCUCAAUUUUUGUGCUUUACACACCCUGUUGUAGGGUUUUUCAUACUCCUUUACUCCUUCACCUUAAACAAACCCUUAAAAGUCUUUCUUCAAUACUUGCUCUCACCAGCUAAACUUUGUAAAGAGAAAAAGAAAGGUUUCAUGAUAGCUUGAGGACUCUUGGGAAGAAAUUUCAUUACCGUCCACCAAGGUGAGUGAUGAAUUAAGAUUGGUUUUAAGUUAUUGAUGAUGGCUAGUAAUUAGAGUUAUGAGUUGUGUUAUUUGCUGAAAUUGUUUAUCUAUUUCUAGUGUUACUAAAGUAGAGAAACAGAAUAGCCAAUCAAAUGGUAAUUGGAAGGUAGAUAGGAAGGGCUAUUGAAGCUUGAAUUGGGAAACAACUUUUGUAGUGAUAUUAAUGUAAAUUGGAUUGGCUGUGAUGUUUCUGUGCGUGAUAGGUUCCAACAAGGCCCCUCAGCCCCAUUUGGACCAUUAGGGAAGUUAGAGUCGAUUAAAGGUUCAACAAGUAUCGGUGAGUGAACUUGCAUUAAAAGGUUUUGGGAUAUACACAUAUAUGUUUGAUUGAAUCCUCUAAAACGUUUUACUUGGUUCUUUCUUCAAACCUUGCACGAGAACAAGCCCUUAUGAAAUGUUUUUAUGUUAUGAAAUGGAUUGUGUGAUGAAUUCAUACGUUUCUGUAUAAUGUUGAUAUAUAUAUAUAUAUACUAUGUCAUAAAUGGAACCAUUGUGUGACAAAUGCAACCGUCCAUAUAACGACCCCUCCUUGGUCGCUACCGGUGUCCACGACUUUCGAGGAAUUUUUGCUACGUCCCAAACAAGCCUCAUUUAAGGCUUCUGCUAGAUUCAUUAAAUAUAUAUAAUCACGUGCAUAAGCGAAUAUCAAUAAUUAAACUACUGUCUACUCCAUUCAAAAUAAUAACAAUUCACGUUUAUGAGUUAACAAUAUUUUUCAACAUCUAGCACUUUCAUUCUGACACAACCUUAAACAGUGGAGCGACUCGGAGCAGGGUUAGGAAAUACCUUUACCUACUCUGCGGUGGUUCGUACACACCGAUGACUACAUGUUAGACUGAUCUCUAUUUACAAAAAGGGAAAACAAAAGGGGUGUGAGUCUCAAACUCAGUGAACAUCAUCGACCUUGUGAGUAGGCGAGAAGGGGAAACAAACAUAAAGGUGGAAUGUUUAUAAAUCCAAGAGUAAGCAUAGAAAAUACAUUCCAUAAAAUUGAGAGAUUUUGCUUUUAUACCUUGCAAUUCUUAAAAAUAAUAAUUCACAAGUAAACAUAUAUGAAAAUAGCUGUAUUUAGGGUACUAGAAAAUCUUUCAACCCCGACAUCCAGUCAUCAUUAAAUUCAAUGACAAGUAAAAAAUGAAAUUUCUCAAAAAUAAAAAGGUGAAUUAAUUGAUCACCAAUGAAUAGGUAAAUUUCACUUGCCAUUAAAUAAAAAUUUUCAAGUAUUAAUGCCAUGCAUAAUGAAAUAAAAAUCUACAAGUGAGCAUCAUCCUCAGGUAGGUUUAAUAUAGCCCUUAGGCUUACUCUCUCAUACAUCAUCACCUACUCGUGGGAACUACCCAUGCCACCAUAUGAAUUGGGACUUCAGGUCCCCCUUUACCUACUCAUGGGAACUACCCAUACCACCAUACAUAAAUCGGGGCUUCAAGUCCCCCUUUACCUACUCAUGGGAACUACCCACGCAACCACCAUACAUAAAUCGGGGCUUCAGGUCCCCUUUUACCUACUCGUGGGAACUACCCAUACCACCAUACAUAAAUCGAGGCUUCAGGUCCCCCUUUACCUACUCAUGGGAACUACCCAUGCCACCAUAUAUAAAUAAAGGCUUCAGGUCCCCUUUUUUAAAUCAAAUAUCAAUAAUCGACAAUUAUUACUUUGUGCACAAAGACCACACUUGACCUAGUGUGGUAACAAGUCCUACUCAGAGUAUCUCAAUCAUGUUAAAAUAAAAUCAUUGCAAUUUAAUACAUUUGCAUAACAUGACAAAUUAAAAACCAUAUAAUCAUAAAAUGAAUAUUAUGCAUAAUUUCUUUCAAAGCAUGGCAUAUUUACCAAAUCAGCAUGCUAAGUGAAAUAAAUAAUUUAUCAUCAAGUUUUAUGAAUCAAUACAAAGGCCAUUGGCCUAAACAUCACACAAACUUGCAAGGUAUGAUUUUGAAGUGAAAGCCAGUCAAAGGUUUAUUUCCCCGUUUUUAAAAACAUGUAGAUAUAUAUAUUUUUAUAUAUUAUAAAAAAAUGAAUUUAAAAUCCGUGUUACAAACACAAACAACCUAAUACUUUCUACCAACUCACGCUGUCCACAAUUUCAUCAAUUAUCAAAUGUAACAUAUAUAUUAUGUUAUAGGGGCAUAGUUUUGAAAUUUAGCACCCACUCACCUCACAAUAGUGGGAGCUACUUCGCUAUUGUUUCGUGCGUGUAUUUAGCUAUUCUUUCUUCCUUUUCAUUUUUCUCUCCUUCUCCCCUUGCUGUCGAUCUUCCUUCCAGCCGACAUUUCUCUUUCUCUUCUUCCUCUUUCUCCUCUAGCACCGUCGCUGCUUCCUCUCUCUUUCUCCUUCUUUUUCUUUCUUCUUCCUUCCCUCUCUUUCUUCUCCUCGACGCCACUUGUCACAACCUGGAACUCCCAUCGAGCCCGUGACAAUCACCGCGACAUCUCGAUAGACAUUCAUUACUUGGAAUGUCAAUCGAAACCUCGCAAGGCUUAACAUAAGUUUUUCUCGCUUCCCCUGUGAGUAUUAGUUACUAAAAUCAUCUUUUGAGAGAUUAUAAACUAUUUCCAAAUCAAAACAAUAGAAAAAUAAUUUUUUUUCUCAUAGGGGCAUUUUGGUCAUUUUUCUUCAAAAAUUUCGAAACCAGCUAAAUAUAUAGUAUGCGAGUAUAAAACACAUAAUUCAUAAUCAAAAAUAAGUUUAAAAGUCUAUAACCUUCAUUUAAAAUGAAAUUAUGAUUAUUUGGAUAUAAUAAAAAAAUAAAAGAAAUAUUCAAUAAAAUAUUCUAUUUUUUUAUAAAACAAUAUUUUUAGAAUUAUACGUAAAUAAUUUUUACAACGUAAAAGCAAAAUAAAUUCAUACAUACUAUAAUACAGUAAGCCAGAGUAUUUAAUUUAAUUUACAAUAACCAGUGGGCCCCCCGAAUAACCAAAAGUAAGGAAGACUGUGAACCUACAAUUUGGAAGAUGCAAGUCUAACUGUAGCCCUCAACAAAGUGAGCUAUCUACCGACUAUCUUGAGCUUGAAAUGGGUGAAAAAGAGGGUGGUGAGAUUAUAUAAUCCCAGUGAGUAAACAAAUACCAUCUAAAAUAUCUAAAGCCGAGUAAAUGGAGAUAGAUAAAAUAGUUUAACAUAAUGUAAUUCAUCACCUUUCAACUUGUUUCAACCAAACAAAAUCAAUUCAUAUAAAUCGAGUAAUCAACAUGGCUUAUGAAUUUCUUAAAACUUUGGCUCGUGCCAAAAUCAUUCACAUACUUAGUUAUCAGGGAUACCUUGACCAAGGGCUAUCCCAAUCGAGUCUGCCAAGGCUGUUAAAAAGUUAUGUACGCAUAAAUCAUGUUUUUAUUUUGAAAAUAUAGCCGUUCCUUGGCGUUGGUUGAGUUCACUCUCACAUGGUGGUUUGGCGUGAAGUGAACUCUAAAGUGUUAACCUCAGGAGUUAUCCAUCCACGCCUCUCAUAUUGAGGUAUGAAUAUAAUAGGGUUACUGUGCCCCUCUAAUAGGCUGGUCCACGGAACCCGUCCCUUGCAGUGACUAAUUUAUAACCCACCAUACAAUAAAAUUUGCAAUAGCAUGAUAUGGCAAUUAUUUUAUUUUAUAGCCUCUCAAGCCAAAUUAACAGUUCAUACAUUUUCAACACAAAUACCAAUUCAACCAUUCAUGCAAAUAUUAUCAUAAGCCAUUCAAUUCAAACCAUGAUUUAUAACACAACAAUUAGUCUCCAAUUACUCCAUUUUCAAAACCAUCAUUCAAUUUCAAGACAAUUUUAUAAAAUCAUUUCAUUUAAACACAUUUUGUUUAUAAAACCUAAAGAUUUACCAUUUAAACACAUUUUUCUAUAAAAUCAAAAAAAAGAAUAAAAACUACUUUAGAUAAUUAAGACGAUAGUAAGGUUACUCACUAUUUCAGAAGUCGAAUUCCGAGGACUCUAAUUCUUGAUCCUCGGGUACUAUCUCUUUACUUUUGCCAGAAUGCUCACCACCU
rnacentral:lncRNA from 1 species